rnacentral:rRNA from 1 species
CCUACGGGUGGCAGCAGUGGGGGAUAUUGCACAAUGGGGGAAACCCUGAUGCAGCGACGCCGCGUGAGUGAAGAAGUAUUUCGGUAUGUAAAGCUCUAUCAGCAGGGAAGAAAAUGACAGUACCUGACCAAGAAGCCCCGGCUAAGUACGUGCCAGCAGCCGCGGCAAUACGUAGGGGGCCAGCGUUAUCCGGAUUUACUGGGUGUAAAGGGAGCGUAGACGGUUAUGUAAGUCUGGAGUGAAAGCUCGGGGGCCAACCCCGGGACUGCCUUGGAAACUGUGUAACUGGAGUACAGGAGGGGCAGGCGGAAUGCGCGGUGUAGCGGUGAAAUGCGUAGAUAUCAGGAGGAACACCGGCGGCGAAGGCGGCCUGCUGGCCUCAAACUGACGUUGAGGCUCGAAAGCGUGGGGAUCAAACAGGAUUAGAUACCCCUGUAGUC